rnacentral:tRNA from 2 species
GGAGAGGUGGCAGAGUGGUCGAAUGCACCGGACUCGAAAUCCGGAGUAGCCGCAAGGUUACCGUGAGUUCGAAUCUCACCCUCUCCGCCA